rnacentral:rRNA from 1 species
GGUAAACCUGAGAAACCCGAAAGGUCGAAGGGAGAAAUUCAAUCGCGUUUCGCCGCAGGCGUCGGGCGGUCGCGCGACGGGUAGCGUUCGCGUUUCCCGCGCCCUCCGUCCUUCGAACCGGUGGCGAACGCGUGCACUUUUCUCCUGGUAGGACGUCGCGAUCCGUUGGGUGUCGGUCUACGGCUCGCGGUGGAGCCCGUUCGUGCCACGUGUGCGAGCGGACCCGCGUGUCCCGGCUGACUCGCUCGACGGUAUACGAAAGAUUUAAGGCCGCUCUCGGAGCGUUCGACUCGCGGCAAGCGCGCCAGAUGCGUCGGCGAUCGGACCUAGUGCCGAUUCUGACCUCUGGUGACUGUUGGCCGCGAUCGUCUCGAACAGACCUUUGGAUCGAUCGGCGACGCUAUAGCUUUGGGUACUU